GGGAGAUAAUUCUUAAAAACAACAUGGCUACCUUCUGAAUAAUUUUGUUUGUCGUAAGUCAGUCCCCAAAAAUAACAACAUGGCUACCUUCUGAAUAAUUUUGUUUGUCGUAAGUCAAUCCCCAGCCACAACAACUUUCAUUGUGACAGUGCUAAAAUGUCUUUUAUAACUAAACAUAUGUUGAAACUACCUUCAGCGUUUAGAUCAUGUGUCAAUUUCAAUAGUUUUAGUUCUUUAUGCUUGAGACAGUCAUUGUUAAUAGGAUAUUCACCAUGUCAAAAGAAAUUAGAACAAAAUGCAGUAAGUUAUUCUGAUGGAAAGAAUAACAUAUUGUCAUAUCAACCAAAGUCAUUUCAAACAAACAAUAAAAACAGUUGUUCAGUUGGGUGUGCAGAAAUGUUUCACACAAAUUUGAUAAAAAGAUAUUACUCUUCAAGCUCCUAUUCUGAUGAAUUUAACACUCCAUCACCAUAUAAGAAACCUGGUCCUAGAAAUUAUGGUUAUAAAACAAAAACUUUUACAGAAGGACUCCUUCCACGAUCAGAAGAAGAGAAGAAAUUUUUGCAGAAAUAUAAACCUAAAGAUUCUUGGAAUAGGCGGAGAGCUUUAUUUGGCCAAAAUGAUUACAUAG